UGACAGUUUUGUUGUUUUUUUUUUCCAGUGUCACUGGUUUCCAGUUUCAGCUUUAGAGAGCUGCUUGGCCUACAUUACCCAGCAUGCCUUGCGGUCCAAUUAAGAUAUCCCAGAGCGAUGGCAUCAUGGCAAAGAUUUUGAGCCAGACUGUUAUGUGAGGAGCCGCUGACCGGGUGAGACCCGCCGGUCAUCUUGCAGCAGCAGCCCAAGUCCUGCGUCAUCAUCCCCAGGAGAAAAAGAUCUGAUAAAUCGAUCUGUGCAGCUCUUUGAUUGAGCUGACAUGACUUAUAAGAUGAUGGCCUGCUCCGUCUGAAUGCAUGGCCCUGUUUGUUUCUUGGAGCUGUUGUGAUUCUGUUAACCCCACAUCUACUAUUAGACAACUCUACCAGAAAUGCAACACGUCACCACAGGAGGGAACAGAGGUCUGAAAACUUUAUCGUCCAAUUACUCCAGGCAGGCACCCUGAGUUUUGGUCCAGUGGAGAUUUUACAGACAGGCGUGUCCGCCACUGCACUGUCAUCAGGAUAAGGAUGUCAAAAUUUGAGAUGAAAAGUGAGGCUUGAAAAAGGUAUGGGUAGAGAUCUAGCUGCUACAGUCUUUUGUCUUGAGUUCAACCCUAUCUAAGCUGACAUCACUGUGAUAAGGUUAAGCCUGGAUAUGUAAGUGGAAAAGUAUGAGGAAUGCACAUGUGUGUCUAUUCAGGCACACUGCUCUGUAGCAUGCAUUAAAGCCCACUGAAUGCUUCAGUAUGAACAUUAUGUGAAUGCUAUGACCUUUACAGUCACCACAUUUCAAGCCAAUUGAACGCCUAUGGGAGAUUUUGGAGUGAUGUUUUUGUGGUUCUUAAGUACAAUUUAAAGUACUCGUCUCCUUUUUAUGCUACUUUAUACUUUCAUAACUCCACUACAUUCCAGAGGGAACUAUUAUACUUUUUACUCAACUGCAUGUAUGACUGAUAAGUAUAGUUUUUAGUUACUUUCCGAAUUAAAAUUUUACAGACAAAACCUGUGAUGAGCACAUAACAUAUGACACAUAGCUACUGAUCAAAUUACAGACAGUAAGAGUUGCGUGUGCUGUUGUUUUAUUAUUAUAUUGCAUGUUCUUUUUGUGCUCCAUACUGUGUGAUCAUGGUCUUGAGUCAAAAUGAAUGAAAUGAAAAUGAAAUGAGAGGUUAAUCAUGGACUGUCCCUUUCUCCCUGAGGUCCCCGAGUUAAUUUGGUUAAAAUUUGUGUAAAUGCAACUUUAUUUAAGAAUAUACAACAUGUUAGCAUAAUAUCAACUGGAAUAGUUAAGGUAUUAGGCAUUUUACUAGAUUUUGACACAGGGUCCUUCUGAGUGACAAUAAGUUGGUAACGUUGUUGAGGAGUUGAAGGUGUGCAGCCUGUCGCUUUCAAUUCUUAAUCUAACUGCUCAUGUUGCUCCUUUUUGUCCCAUUACUCCCUGCAAUAAUUAGAACUGAUGUGCUGUCAAAGAUAGUUUCCUUGUUUUUGUAGAUGCAUUUCUAAUGAAAAAUUGCAGUAACCACUAACCACGUUGACAAAUACAUUGUGUUUCCUGUGGCUUCUCCACAUGUGUUUCACAAGUUGAACACAUUCUAUGUGACAGUAGGAUUUUCUGCAGUAGACUUUUUGUUUGCAGGGGCAGGAACUUAACACAGCUCUGAUACAAUGUAAAGAGAGUGAACAGUAAACAGUAUGGCUAUUAUCAUACAGAUAAAAUUAUGCUGGAUUUCAUGUAUGUCCUGUACCCUGUGAAUCACUCCUGCAUGUGAAGGCAAUUUGGAUCCAGAGUGGAAAUGGCAGACUAACUUAUAAUGGAGUGUUUAUGCUGUGGUAUUGCUACUUUUACUUCAGUAAAUGAGUAGAAUACUUCUUGUACCACUAUUCACCACCAUCAUCAAAUCACCCAAUCACCAAAUGAGAUGGAAUAUCUUUUUGGAAAAACCAUCAUCCUUCCAGCAGCCCUGCAGA